ACUCAGAGAUCUUUUGCCUGAAUGAUGGGAUUAAAGGCAUGUACCACCACUGCUGUCCAGCUUGGCAUAUUUGGGAGGCUGAGGCAGAGAGAUCUCUGUGAGUUUUAGACUAGACUGGUCUACAUAGUAAAUUCUAGGUCAGCUAGGGCUAUACAGGAAGGCCCUGUCUAAAAAACCAAAACAAUAGCUCAAAUGCAAGAUACUUUCUGGUUUUUAGAAUUGGCUAGUUGGACCAGGGAAUCUGAGCCAUCAUUCUGAGAAGACUUUCAUCAGCAGGCUUAGAAAACUGGAAGUCCUAAGCUUCAUACGUGAAGACUCUCUUUACAUCUUGUACAUCCUUCUGGCAUGGUCCGGGUGUGCCUAAUAACAUCAGUUGUGUAUGGAACACACUGAAAGUUUUCCUUCUUGCCAGUGACUGGGGACUAGCAAGCAGCCUUUUGAGGUUCAGUUCUAGUGCCCUCCCCCCAUCUUCCUGGCAUGGUCAGCAGAGGCACUGCCAGGUCCCAAGUGCUGUUGUUCCUGGACCUCAGCCAACAGAGGCCACAUGUGUCCUCCAAGUAUCUAUUUUAAUCGGGGCUGGGCCCUACAGGAAGUGAAAGGGCCUGAUCCAGUACCUAUUUGCCAGAGCUACCCAUACUCUGGUGAUAGAGCUAGAGAUGGGGAGGCUCUGUAGCCAAGGACAGCUCAGAGAAAGUUGGGGUACUCUCUUAGGUUUGGAAGUCUUGACCGCCACAGAACACUGAGACCUUCCUUUGUUAUCUUGUCUGCAUUGAAGGACCUUGGCUGUUCUCAGACAUGGACAGAGCUGUUUAGUGUAGGUGUCCAUCCAUUCAUUGUGUAUUGACCAGCCCCCUGUAUGUUCUAGCAAGUAGGACAUACUUCAGAGUGUGUACCAGGACCCUGGUCAUGAAGGAGCUCCCAUGUAGGCUGUAGGACAGGGUGGGGGUUAUAUGCUUUGUACAUGCCAGAGAAUUUUUGACCACAUUUCCUCCAGGAUCUGCUUAAAGCAUUCUAAUUUUCUGUAAACAUUCUAAAAAAGAAGGAAGCUAAUGUUAAGUAAGUGUGAGACUGACUACUUUGUAAUACUCAGUGUUUAUAUAGCUCAAAUUCAAACUGUCUCCUAUUAGGCUCAUGUUUUCCUUGUUCCCCAGCAGGUAUCACAGUUUUGGGGGCCUAGUUGCUGAAAAUGGGCAUGGUGGCUCACACCUUUAAUCUCAGCACUUGGGAGUUAAAGGCAAGUAGUUCUUUGUGAGUUUGAAGCCAGCAUGGUCUCAUUUGUGAAUUCCAUCGUUGAGACCCCCAUCUCAAAAAUAACAAAACAAAACAACACAAACAACAACAAAAAAUAAAAAGAAAGUAGAUCAUACUCAGCCAUGGUUUACCUACUAUGUGUUUCUUGGUUCUCCAUGGCAUGAGGAGCCUCUGCCACAGGCUAGGUCAUGGUCUCCACCAUAUCCUGCCUGCCAUGAUGGUCAGAAACUAUGAGCCAAAAUCUUUCUCCCUCAAGUUUCUUUCAGAUGUUGUCACAGUGAAAUAAAAGACACUAAUGUAGAAAAUUCUCCAGAAAAGGUACACUCUUUGUUUUGUAACUAAAUUUGACCAUGAAGUUUUUAAACCUUUGGAACUGUCCUGCAAGGUGAAUUUACAAGAUUGGAGAUGUGGGCUAGAGAAGCCCCAGAAUGUUAUAAUUGAACGGGCAGGAUGCAGCUAGAAAUACAAGUGGCAAAGACUGCCUCAAGGCUUCCAACGGUGGAGUCUGUUAGAGUCCAGAAAUUUUGAUUGAGGCUGUACUCAAAAUGGACAGUUGAGUUUGUCAGAGGAAAUUUAACCUGGUCUGUAGUGAGAUUAGAGGCAAAAGAACAGAAAGAUGUGAAAAAACACGUACUUUGAUUGGAAAGGGAGCAUGAGCAUAUUUUAAAGUGUAUGUCAAGCAAGAGUGGCCAGAGCUGUUAGGGGAAUCUUGGCAGCGGAUCUGAGUUCUGAGAGUGAGUCCCAGAACAGCCAGAGCUACACAGAGAAACCCAGUC
rnacentral:lncRNA from 1 species